rnacentral:rRNA from 1 species
UACAGAGGAUGCAAGCGUUAUCCGGAAUGAUUGGGCGUAAAGCGUCUGUAGGUGGCUUUUUAAGUCCGCCGUCAAAUCCCAGGGCUCAACUCUGGACAGGCGGUGGAAACUACCAAGCUGGAGUACGAUAGGGGCAGAGGGAAUUUCCGGUGGAGCGGUGAAAUGCGCAGAUAUCAGGAAGAACACCCGUGGCGAAGGCGGCUCUCUGGGACGGUACUGACGCUGAGACGCGAAAGCGUGGGGAGCGAACAGG